UACGAAGGGGGCUAGCGUUGCUCGGAAUCACUGGGCGUAAAGCGCACGUAGGCGGCCAACUAAGUCAGACGUGAAAUCCCUCAGCUUAACUGGGGAACUGCGUCUGAUACUGGAUGGCUUGGAUUUGGGAGAGGGAUGCGGAAUUCCAGGUGUAGCGGUGAAAUGCGUAGAUAUCUGGAGGAACACCGGUGGCGAAGGCGGCAUCCUGGACCAAUAUUGACGCUGAGGAGCGAAAGCCAGGGGAGCAAACGGG
rnacentral:rRNA from 1 species